CAAUCUACACCAAAGAAGGGUUUAAAAGUAGCGGGCACGCGUCUCGUUCAAUGUACAAUGAAAUUUCAGAUUCUGGGUAUCACGACACUGUCAGUAAUACUGUAAAGCAGAGUACCGAAUUAUCAACAGCAAAGUAUAGCACUGCAGGCAUAACAAUCGGAGGGAUUAAAAACCAGAAACAAAAGUGAACAGUCAGAGAAGAAGGAAUUACAAACCAAGAACAAAUGUACAGAAAUAGAAAGCGAUACAUUAUACAUUAUAUGCAAUCCAGAAACAAAGGAGGAAAGAAAACAAUGUUGAAGGAGAUGUUCUGAUGAUCGUCUUACCUAGUGCCGGAGUUUUGAUUGCAGUUGUUGUAAUGAUAAUAAUGAUAUAUCUUAAACCGAAUGGAAACGAAAAAUGAAAAGUAUGUUGAAUAUUAGAAUAAUUCCAUUUAUCUUUUCAACAACGAAGGUCAAAAACAUUGUAUUAAAAUUGUAGACAUGCUCUAAUCUCUAUGUUAUAAUUUGUUUUUCUAA